GCUGAUGCUUUAUAUAGAUCUUACAGGUUCCGGAACCUGGACGGCAGGGCUUUUUGCCCUGCCUGGUACAUA
rfam:Clostridium sp. CAG:7 genomic scaffold, scf250